GACGAACGCUGGCGGCGUGCUUAACACAUGCAAGUCGAACGGAAAGGCCCUGCUUUUGUGGGGUGCUCGAGUGGCGAACGGGUGAGUAACACGUGAGUAACCUGCCCUUGACUUUGGGAUAACUUCAGGAAACUGGGGCUAAUACCGGAUAGGAGCUCCUGCUGCAUGGUGGGGGUUGGAAAGUUUCGGCGGUUGGGGAUGGACUCGCGGCUUAUCAGCUUGUUGGUGGGGUAGUGGCUUACCAAGGCUUUGACGGGUAGCCGGCCUGGGAGGGUGACCGGCCACAUUGGGACUGAGAUACGGACCAGACGCCUACGGGAGGCAGCAGUGGGGAAUAUUGCACAAUGGGCGGAAGCCUGAUGCAGCAACGCCGCGUGCGGGAUGACGGCCUUCGGGUUGUAAACCGCUUUCGCCUGUGACGAAGCGUGAGUGACGGUAAUGGGUAAAGAAGCACCGGCUAACUACGUG
rnacentral:rRNA from 1 species